rnacentral:rRNA from 1 species
UACGGGGGGGGCAAGCGUUGUUCGGAAUUACUGGGCGUAAAGGGCUCGUAGGUGGCCAACUAAGUCAGACGUGAAAUCCCCAGGCUCAACUUGGGAACUGCAUCCGAUACUGGAUGGCUUGAAUUCGGGAGAGGGAUGCAGAAUUCCAGGUGUAGCGGUGAAAUGCGUAGAUAUCUGGAGGAAUACCGGUGGCGAAGGCGGCAUCCUGGACCGACAUUGACGCUGAUGAGCGAAAGCUAGGGGAGCAAACGGG